ACGCUCGACACCUACGGGAGCAGCAGUAGGGAAUCUUCCACAAUGGGCGCAAGCCUGAUGGAGCAACACCGCGUGAGUGAAGAAGGGUUUCGGCUCGUAAAGCUCUGUUGUUGGAGAAGAACGUGCGUGAGAGUAACUGUUCACGCAGUGACGGUAUCCAACCAGAAAGUCACGGCUAACUACGUGCCACCAGCCGCGGUAAUCUGAGCGGGCUGGCAAGGC
rnacentral:rRNA from 1 species